rnacentral:rRNA from 1 species
AGGACGAACGCUGGCGGCGUGCUUAACACAUGCAAGUCGAACGGAAAGGCCCUUCGGGGUACUCGAGUGGCGAACGGGUGAGUAACACGUGAGCAAUCUGCCCCUAGCUCUGGGAUAGCUCCGGGAAACCGGGAUUAAUACCAGAUAUUACUACGGCCGACAUCAGCUGUGGUGGAAAGAAUUUCGGCUAGGGAUGAGCUCGCGGCCUAUCAGCUUGUUGGUGGGGUAAAGCCCACCAAGGCGACGACGGGUAGCCGGCCUGAGAGGGCGACCGGCCACACUGGGACUGAGACACGGCCCAGACUCCUACGGGAGGCAGCAGUGGGGAAUAUUGCGCAAUGGGCGAAAGCCUGACGCAGCGACGCCGCGUGCGGGAUGAAGGCCUUCGGGUUGUAAACCGCUUUCAGCAGGGACGAAGCGAAGUGACGGUACCUGCAGAAGAAGCGCCGGCUAACUACGCGCCAGCAGCCGC